rnacentral:rRNA from 1 species
UACGUAGGGUGCGAGCGUUGUCCGGAAUUACUGGGCGUAAAGAGCUCGUAGGUGGUUUGUCGCGUUGUCCGUGAAAACUCACAACUCAAUUGUGGGCGUGCGGGCGAUACGGGCAGACUGGAGUACUGCAGGGGAGACUGGAAUUCCUGGUGUAGCGGUGGAAUGCGCAGAUAUCAGGAGGAACACCGGUGGCGAAGGCGGGUCUCUGGGCAGUAACUGACGCUGAGGAGUGAAAGCGUGGGGAGCGAACAGG